AUUGAACGCUGGCGGCAGGCCUAACACAUGCAAGUCGAGCGGUAGAGAGGUGCUUGCAUCUCUUGAGAGCGGCGGACGGGUGAGUAAUGCCUAGGAAUCUGCCUAGUGGUGGGGGAUAACGUUCGGAAACGGACGCUAAUACCGCAUACGUCCUACGGGAGAAAGCGGGGGAUCUUCGGACCUCGCGCCAUUAGAUGAGCCUAGGUCGGAUUAGCUAGUUGGUGAGGUAAUGGCUCACCAAGGCGACGAUCCGUAACUGGUCUGAGAGGAUGAUCAGUCACACUGGAACUGAGACACGGUCCAGACUCCUACGGGAGGCAGCAGUGGGGAAUUUUGGACAAUGGGGGCAACCCUGAUCCAGCAAUGCCGCGUGAGUGAAGAAGGCCUCGGUGUAAGACUCUUUGUCUAGGGAAGG
rnacentral:rRNA from 1 species